AUCAGCAGUGCUCGAGGCAGGACCUGAAGCAGAAACCAUGGGGGAGUGCUACUUACUGUCUUUCGCUCCAUGGCUCAUUCAGUUUGAUUUUUUUAUACAACUCAGGAUCACUGUCCCAGGAGUGGAACCUCCCAAAGUGGCCUACGCCCUUCCACAUCGACUGUUUUAAUCAAGAAACACUACAAUCAAGCAACACAGGCCAAUCUGACAGAGAACAUUCCUCCUGCUCAAUAUGGAAUGUCUUCCACAUGUGCUGGACCAUCUUCAGCAAUACUAAUGUAUAUGCACGUUGGCUUCACCAUCUCCUCCACAUUCUCCAGCUCUGUUCUCACCCAUCACUCCUGUGAGAUCAGAGAGGAGCCUGAGACCCAAUGCUUUCAAUGACUGUAAAUUUCAGAAUCAUCCAUGACUACCUAUGGGAUUUUUGGUAAAAUUCAUAAAUAUUCUGUGCCUUUGUUUCCCUUUAUGUAAGCAGGAUUGUGUGGUGUGGUGGUGGGGUUCCAAGUCCUAAGGAAGAAAUCAGGAAACAGCUGUAUGGGCUAGUCCAUGUCCUGUGAGCACAUGCAGACUCACUGCAUCCCUUUCUCUCCCUUCCAAUUUUAUCCAUUUUUCUUAUUGUUUCCUGGUGGUUUAAAAGACCCAAUCAAAAUAUUUAUAACCAUGUACUGCAUAUAAGAAGCAGAAGACACAGGAAACCUCAGCCUCAUUGCAUACCAAUUUAGAAAGCAUUUUGCAGAGCCUUCCUUUUGGCAGAAUGAACUGCUUCCUGGUGAAGAAGGUAGUGUCCCCUUCUCAGACCAUGUAGCCCUCUGGAAUACCACCAGUGUGUCUACCACGUGGAAUGGUUGAAUAAAGGAGUUCUUCGAAAAUGACAAGUUCUUGAUAAAUAAAGAGGUGAACAUCA